UCCCUGGUGGUGCAGUGGGUUAAGGACCUGGCAUUGUCAUUGCCGUGGCACAGGUUCGAUCCCUGGGCCUGGGAA
rnacentral:tRNA from 1 species